GACGAACGCUGGCGGCGUGCUUAACACAUGCAAGUCGAACGGUAAGGCUCCAGCUUGCUGGGGUACACGAGUGGCGAACGGGUGAGUAACACGUGGGUGACCUGCCCUGCACUUCGGGAUAAGCCUGGGAAACUGGGUCUAAUACCGGAUAGGACCGCACCGUGAGGGUGUGGUGGAAAGUUUUUUCGGUGUGGGAUGGGCCCGCGGCCUAUCAGCUUGUUGGUGGGGUAAUGGCCUACCAAGGCGGCGACGGGUAGCCGGCCUGAGAGGGUGGACGGCCACAUUGGGACUGAGACACGGCCCAGACUCCUACGGGAGGCAGCAGUGGGGAAUAUUGCACAAUGGGCGGAAGCCUGAUGCAGCGACGCCGCGUGGGGGAUGACGGCCUUCGGGCUGUAAACUCCUUUCACCAUCGACGAAGGGUUUCUGACGGUAGAUGGAGAAGAAGCACCGGCUAACUACGUGCCAGCAGCCGCGGUAAUACGUAGGGUGCGAGCGUUGUCCGGAAUUACUGGGCGUAAAGAGCUCGUAGGUGGUUUGUCGCGUCGUCUGUGAAAUUCCGGGGCUUAACUCCGGGCGUGCAGGCGAUACGGGCAUAACUUGAGUACUGUAGGGGAGACUGGAAUUCCUGGUGUAGCGGUGAAAUGCGCAGAUAUCAGGAGGAACACCGGUGGCGAAGGCGGGUCUCUGGGCAGUAACUGACGCUGAGGAGCGAAAGCAUGGGGAGCGAACAGGAUUAGAUACCCUGGUAGUCCAUGCCGUAAACGGUGGGCGCUAGGUGUGGGUUUCCUUCCACGGGAUCCGUGCCGUAGCUAACGCAUUAAGCGCCCCGCCUGGGGAGUACGGCCGCAAGGCUAAAACUCAAAGGAAUUGACGGGGGCCCGCACAAGCGGCGGAGCAUGUGGAUUAAUUCGAUGCAACGCGAAGAACCUUACCUGGGCUUGACAUAUACAGGAUCGCGCCAGAGAUGGUGUUUCCCUUGUGGCUUGUAUACAGGUGGUGCAUGGUUGUCGUCAGCUCGUGUCGUGAGAUGUUGGGUUAAGUCCCGCAACGAGCGCAACCCUUGUCUUAUGUUGCCAGCACGUUGUGGUGGGGACUCGUAAGAAACUGCCGGGGUUAACUCGGAGGAAGGUGGGGAUGACGUCAAAUCAUCAUGCCCCUUAUGUCCAGGGCUUCACACACGCUACAAUGGUCGGUACAGUGGGUUGCCAGUCCGUGAGGGCGAGCUAAUCCCGCAAAGCCGGUCUCAGUUCGGAUCGGGGUCUGCAACUCGACCCCGUGAAGUCGGAGUCGCUAGUAAUCGCAGAUCAGCAACGCUGCGGUGAAUACGUUCCCGGGCCU
rnacentral:rRNA from 1 species